UAAACUUUUAUUGAUAUCAAGUAAAUGUAGCAAUUACAACUUAAAACUAAAUAAAUCAAAGAGAAGUUUAAGAAAACCAAGACUAAAGCUUAGAUUUUUUUCCUCAAAGCCUCUCUAUUUUUCUCUUUGAUCUCUACUAACUCUUAUGUAGUCCCUUAAUAUGUUUUCAAUAGAGGCUGAUGAGAAAUAAGAGAGUAUUUUUAUUAUAUCCCCCAAAAAACCCUUAAAACCCUAGUAAAAUCGGACCAAACCACUCCAAAAACUAACAAAAAUCGCCCAAAAUCGAACCAAGCAAGGUUUGUAGCGCGCUUCAACAGCGCACUCAGUCCGGCCUGAAAAACAUUCUCGACUUCUUUAUGUGAAAUUUGUGCUGAGCAUAUCGGACCAGCCUUGGUAUGGCCUUAGGUCUGGCCUGCAAAUUCUCUAUUGCUUCUUUUUAAUUCAAUAGAUGACCUAAAUUUCAAGGGGCAUAUCUUGGACGUCUAAACUCCAAAUUGAGGAAUUAUUUAGCCUAAAAUGAAGUUCAAAAUGUCUACUCUAAUUUCUAUGUUUUACGAUUUUUCUGAUUCCAUCAUUUUCUUGCCCAAAAUGCCCUUGACAAUUUAGUGCUACAUUUGAUAUAGCUUUCGGAGUGCUCCUUGGUAUGAGGCUUGUAUCUCCCUCAUCUUAGCACCAAAUGGCCUGAUUCCAAUUAAAAAUUUGAAGUAGACUCAAAAUGCUAUAAAUUUGGAGCUUUUCAUCCCAAGACUGGUUCCAGAUUGCCUCCUCCAAUCCUCUAAAUUCGACCAAUCUACGAAAUCGAAAGAUACCCUUUUGAAGUUCCAAUCUUCAAAUUUUGCCUUGGCUUCCAAACUUUUGAGAACUCAUACCUACAUCAAAAUCACACCAAAAUAAGUGUAAAUCACCUAUGAAACCACAAUAAACAUAAACAAAUAGGAUUGACACUUAUAUGGUGCAAAUGUAGGAGAAAUGCACGAUUUAUGCUCUAAACCUAGGCUAAAUUCCCCUAAACCUUAUGUCUCGAAGCCCUAAUAAAUAUGUGUAUUUCACACACAUCAGAGGUUUAUUAUUAAACAUUUCAAGGUUCUUCUGAAGAUUUCUAGAAGCACAAGUUCUUUAAAAGGAAUUUUAACAUAAUGUUAUUAAUUGGAGACAUAUAUCUCUAAAUACAUCCAUAGUCAAUAUUACUCAUUGUGCUUCAACACCUUUUGAACUCAACCAGGGGUCUGCUUAUGCAUCUGCAAAGUAGUUUGAGACAUUACAAGUUACUUAUAAAAAGAUCUACCAAGUGAAAUAAAUAAAGAUAAAUGUUCUAAAAUGUAAUUAUGAGAUGUUUCAUACGAGGAAAAUUAAAACCAUUACUAAAAUAAUACAUGGUGUACUGAUUUCUAUAUAUCACUUGAAAUCGCUCAAAUGAUGAGAUCUCUUCCAAAGCGGAAAAUAAGAAAAAGGAAGGAGUAGCCUUAGUAGCCCACUCAAAGGAUAAUAGUGCAAAUUCACAUGAUAAUGAGAACAUCGCUGCACUAGCUUGGAAAAUGAAAAGGUUUUUCAAGAAAGGUGGUAGGAAGAAUAGAAGACCAUUCUGAAUGAUCAACUUCUCUGAAUUUGAUUUAGGGCACAAGUAGACAUCUGACUAGUCUACUAAAAUGCAACAAACACAGUCAUCUAAAGGCAAACUGUCAUCAAUUGAAAAAGAAAUAGUGAUGGAUCAUCUCAUAGUGAUGAUGACCAAUAAGAUGGAACUGUAAUAGCAAACUUAUGUUUGAUGCUAAAAAAAUAUAUGACUAAUCCAAUUUAGACAGUUAAGAUAAGGUAUCUGAUUCUGACUUUGCUCAUGAUGAUAUUAAGUUCACUGAGUUGCAUAUAUAAAAUUUGCAUCACUCAAGGGCUCAAUCAUUCACCUCAUAUGGAUCACAUAUAAAAUGAGUUUUUGCAUAGUAAGGUUGAAAAAGUAAGCAAUGAUCUAUCUAAUAUUGUGAAACAUGAUCAAUAUCUCCUUAAGCAUAUUUGAAAAUGUUGAUUUUAUAAGAAUGAAAAACAACUUGAAAUUCUGAUUCAAAUAGUGACCUAAUGUUAAGAUUGAAUUUCAAAAGAGAAUUUUUGAGAUCAUAGAAAAACAUAUAGCUAAUUCAAUUUUUAAGGCUAUCAUUCUUAGGAAUAUAUUAUGGAGCUUUUCUUAUUAGUCUUCCCAUUCUAAUACUGCAUCAUUAUCACAUCCAUAUCAUAAUAUUUUUACUUUUGGGAGUGACUAUAAUAAAACUCUCUAUAGGCAUUGCUCUCUUUAUUAUCUUGUUAGACAUCUGUAUGUAGCAUGCUAUAAGAAAAAAGUGUGUAUGAGAAAUGUUUGGAGUCCCAAAAGGAACCAAAUCUAACCUGCUAACCAUAUAGGACCUAAUCAAGAUUGGGUACCUAUAUUUAAGUGAUUACAUGCAGGUAUGUCUUAGCAGCAAGUAGUAAAUAGAUGACUGAUGCAUAAUUAGUAGUUGCUCAAGAAAGACGAUUAAGGAUGAAAAUACGUUCUCAGAAAUCCAAAUAGAUAAAAGUGGAUACGUGAAACAUGAAGAUAAAAGCAAAGGGAAAACCACUGAAAAUAAUUAUGAAAUGGGAUCCCUAACUAAAGAAGUUUCAUUAAUAGAAGAAUUAAAGGAAAAAAUCUAUUGAGUGAGAGUCAGCUGAUUGAUAAAAGGAGAAGAGUCAUCUUUGAGACAACCACUAUUAGGUUCAAUCUACUCUUGAUUAUCAAGCUUAUUUAUUAAACCAUAAAUAAGUAAUGCUUAUAUGGUUGACUUAAAUGAAUGCAAACUAAAAUUGGAUGUCUUACUUCUGUUAAAGAUACAAGUUGGCCAAGUAUAAAAGAUUAUUAUUAUCUAGGUCUUUAAAACUAUUUGAUUUUGCUUUGUUUCGUUUGUCACAUAUGAAAAUCUGAAUGGAAAUAAUUAUAAAUUUGUAAUAAUGGAUGAUUGUCCUAGAUAUACAUAGGUCAUGUUCAUUGCAUCAAUAGUAGACAUUUACACCGCUUUCAUCCAUUUUUGCUUUAGAAUUCGAAAGAGAAAGAAUAUUUCACCACAUUCACUAAAAGCAACCAUGGGAAGGAAUUUGACAAUGAAUUCAUAUAACUUCCUAGUCCCAAGAACCUUACAAUGGAAUGCAUGAGAGAAAGAAUAGAAUCCUAAGAGAUGGCUCGAAACGAGAUACAUGAGAGAAGUCUACCAAUAUAUUUCUUUGCAAAAGCCUCAAACACAUAGCCUAUUGUACCAUAAACAACAUUUUGAUAAGAUCAUUUAUUGGUAAGACAUAUUUUAUGUUGUUAAAAGGAAGAAAGCUUAAUUUUUCAUAUGUUCAUGCAUUUGCAUGUAAAUGUUAUAUCUUUCAAUGAAUGAACCUUAUUUGUUGAAGAAUGAAUGCAUGUGAUAUUUGAUGUAUCUAACCAUUCUUUGGAAAGAAAAAGCAAAAAUGAUGAUACAGGAAACUGAUCUAGAAAAUGAAAAAGAAUUAGAUAAGAAUAAUUUAAAUGAAGAUGAGACGUCUGAUGGGACAUCUGAUAUACUUGAAGACAACUUAAACAGUUAGACAUCUGAUCUACCUAACAAUUGAAAGUAUCAUAAGGAUCGUCCAAGUGAGAGGAUACUAAACAACCUAUCACAAGGGGGAUUAACUAAGAUCAACACUCAUAUAUACUAAUGGCAAUGUAGCUUUUUCACCUCAAAGAGAGCGAUAAUCUUAUGAUGGAACUCAAAUUCUUAAAAAUUAUACAUCUACCAUAGAGAUGAGCUAAAUCAGUUUGAAGGAAAUCAUGGAAGCUGAUACCUAGACCUAUAAAUAACUCUAUCAUAAAAAACAUAUGGGUAUCUAGAAAUAAAAUAGAUGAGCAAGGAAUAAUUAUACAAAUCAAAGCUAGAUUAGUUGCCCAAAGCUAGAAUCAAGGCAAAGAUAAGUCUUAUAGGAGAAUCCAACUUCUUCUUGAGUUUGCGAAUCAAGUGAACAAGUAAAGAAAUCUUCAUUUGUCAAAAUUAUAUACAUCAAGGAGUUGACAAAGAAUUUCAAGUUUGAUAGUCUAAAGAGCAUUAGAGAUCUAAUUAGCAAACAACUAAACUUAAGAAAGAUGAGACUGGAAAAUCAAUUGACAUCAAAAUAAAUUGACGAAUGAUCAGAUUCCUACUAUAUUUGACAGCCAAUAGACUAGACAUCUGAGCUAGCAUAUGCAUGUAUAACAUAUCCCAUGCAAUAUCUAAGGAGCCUCAUCAAAUCACUAUGAAGAGGAUAUUCAAAUAUCUGAUUAGGACUAGUAAUUUGGGUCUAUGGUAAGCUAGGUGUAAUUCUUCUAAUUUAUGUUGGAUAUAGUGAUGUUAACUAUAUAGAAAGUAGAGUUGAGAAAAAGAACACAUCAGACAUCUGCCAAUUCCUUAGACAUUGCUUGAUUUCUUGAUUACAUAAAGAAAGAAAUAGGCGUCUAUUGCACUAUUGACUGUUGAAGCAUUAUACUUCAGUAGGCAGCUAUGGUGCUGAGGUUUCUUGGAUAAAGCAUCAAUAAAAAGACCAUGGCUUCCACUCUAAGGUGAUGUAUAUUAGGUGUAAUAACAUUGGGGCCAUCAAGCUCUCAAAGAACCUUGCUCAACAUGAAAAAUUGAAAAAAUCAAUAUCAAACAUCUUUUAUAGGACCAUGUUCAAAGAAGGAGACAUCCAAGACUUCAUCAAAUCAAUAGACAUCUAAAGCUUUAAUAAAAGCCAUUAAAGAAUAUCAAUAUUGGAAAAUUGGAAGAUCACCUAGUACGGGCACUAAUUCUUUAUGCUUAUGUGUGCAAAUUCAACUAAUUUACUUUCUAUGCAUAUUUAACCGUUAGUCAUCUAAGUCUCAAUAUUAAGGUGAGCCCCUUCAUCUAAUAUUGAAAAUUAAAUAAGUAAAUAUGUGCACUACAUUCCAUAGAAAAGUGAAUUUAAAUAUUUAAAAUAUUUUUCUUUAUCAUAUAUUUUGAAGAAUCACUUUCAAUCUUGAAAACUNNNCUUUCUCUCUACUUUUCAAUUAUAAAGCAAAGAAUUUAUCAUUUGUAAGUUUUCAAGAUUGAAAGUGAUUUUUCAAAUAUAUGACAAAGAAAAAUAUUUUAAAUAUUUAAAUUCACUUUUCUAUGGAAUGAUGAAGGCUUUGAUAAAAACGGAUACUUGAGAUGUCUAUUAUGACAAAAGUGUUGGAAAAUAUAACUAUUGGCAGAAGAGCUAAAAAAGAAAACAACUAGAAAUUUUAUCUAUUGAAGUAAGUAUUGCUAUUCCUAAGAUGGAGAUAUAAGUGCUAUUGAAUCCAUUUAUGAUUAUUUUAAAUCUAAAAGAGUAAGAAAAUCAAUAAUUUGAGAUGAGAUAUCUAAGAGAAGCUCCACAAGGAUAACAAUUGGAUAAAAAUGAUCAAAAGAAAAGCAUGUUAAACUCAACAGAAAUUUGCAAGUUCUCUCUUAAAAAGUUUUUAUGAAAAGACUUUUCAAAAUAAUUUUCUUUUGACUUUGGACAUUAACUUGCAUUUGUAUGCUGUUUUGAAUUAAUUUGGAUAUUUUUUACCUUUUUAUUGUUUACAGAAAAAGGGAGAAAUUUAGGAUAAAUCUAGCAUGUCUAUAUGUAGAUUACUACAUAAGCUUAGGGGGAGCUUAACAAUGAAAAAUAGCAUUAGCAGUCUAUUUAUAUUUGAGUCAUCCAAGCUUAUUUGCUAUUAUUAUAUUUUGCCAUAGUUUCAAGGGGAGCUCCAUUCUUUGCUUAAGUGUUAGACGUCUACUCUUUAUAGGCAUCUAUUUUGUGAUAUAAAGCUAAAAAUGCAGCUCAGAUCUAUAAGCACAAUCAUUUUAUACCAUUGUUUGCUCUGAUGAUUUAAUUGAUCUAUUUUUCUUGUUACUGUGUGCUGGUUUUCUCAUCAUCAAAAGAGAGAGAUUGUUAGCCCCAAGAAGCUAAUAAUCUAAGUUUUGAUGAUAACAAAAUAAUGUGUUGUUUGAUAUUUAUACAUAUGAAUGUUGGAUAUUUAUUACAAGAUGAAAUAAUCUGAUUAAGAGGAGAAAAGCUUAGAAGAUUGAUGUGACCUAUAUUUGCAAUCAUCAGAAGUUAUCGUACAUGAAAGAAUUAGAUGACUCAAUAAACUGAUCAGAUGACUAAGUAUCUAAAAGGCUAUUGAGAAAUAUAAAGAAAACAUCAGAAGCCUACCUUCGUAGAGCUUAAUAGAAUCAGAUAUCUUAAAAGUUAGAUGUCUUAAGACAGUUUAAACAGUGGUGAGUUAGUCCUCUUGUUAAAUAGAUCAGCUUUGACCUCUUGCAUUAAAUUAAUUUCUCAUGUGCAAAACCUUAAAAACACAUCCAUUAAUUUUUCAUAUGUAGCUUUGGUUUUAAUGAACACCACAAUACCCUUUAACUUUAAAAUCAUAUUCAUUCACAAUGCAAUACCUCUAAUUUUAAUUUUAAUGCACACUAUAAAAUAUUAUAUUUUGUAUUUUUGAAAAGUGGAUUUUAUGCCAAAAAGUUUAUUUCUUAAAUUCGUUCUCCUCAUGUUUUACCUAAUGGUUGAAGAGUUCACUGCCAUUCUUAGAAGCCUUAGUGAGUGCACCCAUUCAAUUGCUUUACCAUGACUUGAUGAUCAUUUCCUAGCAAACUAGUGGAGUUCAUCAUGCCCCUAGCUGGGUACUUUCCGACACUAUGGGUGAAUAUGUAAUCCUUACCUCUCUGAUUGCUUGCUACGAUAAGAAGGAAAGGGGUAUAACCUGUUUGGAUUAGAAUUGUGAGCUUCUUCCAUUAUGUCCAAUUCCUGCUAGUUUUUCAUAAAGAAGGAAGAUAUAUUUAGAUUGCUGGCAUUAAGAAUAGGUGGAGCGUGGUGCUAAUCUAGUUCUAGUGAUUCUAGAUGAAGCCAUCAUUAGCUUAGACAUAUACAAAACCCAUCAAAGGUUUAAUAGUAGUCUCUUCCUCUUUUAAGUAAGAAAACAAAUAUCUUUAUUUUGUUAAUGCUUUAAUUUUUUCCUAAGUCAUCAUUUCAGUUUCUCAACUUAGUAGACUAAUGUUUUAACUUUCGUAUUUAUAAAGAAUANNNGGGGGGUGGGGGGGGGGUGGUUUCAAGAGCGCACCCAAGUGUCUCUAGCGACUACGAUACUGCAAGGCUUUUCAACCUAAUAGGAACACGCUAACUAAUCAUAGAGACUAGCGUGGAAAUGGGAGUUUCUUGUCGGGUAAUUCUCUGGGACACUUUCUCUAAUUGAAUGGCAUUUCUCGAUUCCAUAAGAAAGCUUCGCCACAUCGAGAGAUGGAUUCAAAAGCUAACUUCAUUAUUCUACAAGCAUCCAUUACACCAUGUGAGGUCCUCCUAAGUCUAGCCUAUUUUAUUUAAGCUCAAUCCGUGCUUAAUUUAUUAGCCUACUUAACUAUUUAAUUAUGUAUAAAGGUCCACUUAAUCUAUCCCAAUUACAAGUUAUGCAUUUAAUUUCCAGCCUUUAAACUUAAAUGGAGUACUUUUUAUAUUAAGGCCCAAUUGGAUCAUUCUUUUUCUAAUAUGACCCAUUUAAUUAAUUAAAGCAUGGCAAAACCUACUAAGUCUAUAUGGAUUUUCGUUUUAGGCCCAAUUUACCAUCCUUUAACCUAAUAAACUAUAACUUUCAUGCCAAGUCCAAUUUUAAGUCUAAUGUCUAUGUGUCCAGUUUUAAUUAAACAAUUAAGCAUCAAAUAUUUAGCACCAAGCAAAAACAAAGUGCAUGAAUAUUAAAUCUAGCUACAACUAAAAAUAAAUAAAAAAACGCAUAAAAAUAAGUUACACUAUACCAAAAUUGCAUAAAAUCCAAAAAUAGGGAAAAAUUGGUGUAGAAUCGAAUCGGCACUAUACAGAGCUGAUCAGCUCUAAGGCUUCAUCACGGUCAAUUUUGCAUUUUGUCUUGAUUCCCCUCGCCUAAAAGCCAACUU
rnacentral:lncRNA from 1 species